rnacentral:lncRNA from 1 species
CUCUGCAAGAAAAAGUCAUUAGAGCAAACAACCUGGAAAUAAAAGAUUUAGAUGCCAAAAAGUAAAAGAAGUGUUAAGACUUCAUAUCAGGACAUCUAUGUGCUAGGCCUCUUUAGAAGAGAUUAAGGGAUGAAUGAAGAUGUCCCAAUUAGCAGGAGACAAACACAAAAACAAGCACAAACAGUCCUGAAUUAUGUAGGGAUGAUCUUGAAGAGAUCAUAUAACUUAAAUAUAAUUUCUCAUCUGAACCUUCAAUGUUUCUGAAUUUAGAACAUGUAUCUUAUAUGGCACAUGGAGUGAUAGCUUUUGAGAACUGGCUAGGAGUGGUGGCUCACGCCUGUAAUCCCAGCACUUUGGGAGGCCAAGGCAGGCAGAUCACUUGAGGUUAGGAGUUCAAGACAGGCCUGGCCAACAUGGCGAAACCCCAUCUCUACUAAAAACACAAAAAUUAGCUGGGCAUGGUGGUGGGCACAUGCAAUUUAUAUUAUAUAUAAAUUAUGUUAUAUAUAAAUUAUGUUAUAUAUAAAUUAUAUAUGAUUAUGUAUAUUUAUAUAUUUGUAUGUAAAUAUAAUUAUAAAAUGUAUAUAUAUGUGUGUGUAUAUACACAUAUACAAAUACAUAUAUAUACAUACAUACAUAUACAUAUAUAGCUUUUGAGAACUUCCAUGGUAAACAUUACCUUACUUCUGGGGUUCUCAACCAUGGGCAAUUUUGCACAUGCCCAUCCCCCUACUUAGAAGGAGGUGUUACUUCCAUCUAGUGGGUAGAGGCUAGAGAUACUGCUACUCAUUCUAUGAUGCACAAGCCAAUCCUCACACAAAAGUUAUAUGACCCAAAAUGUCAAUAGGUUCAGAAAUUCUUAGUUUUACGUAAUAAAAUAAUAAAUAAAUAACUCCAUCAUGGCCAUGACCAUGUCCAUCUUGUUCACCAUGGUAUUUACACCACAUAGCACAGUAUGUGACAUGUCAAUGGCACUUAAUAUGUAUUUAUUCAAUGAAUGAAUCAAUAAGUUUAAAGUAUAAUACCAAAUUCUAUUUUUUUAAGAUGGAGUCUUGCUCUGUCGCCCAGGCUGGAAUACAGCGGCGUGAUCUCGGCUCACUACAAUCUCCGCCUCCUGGUUCAAGGGAUUCUCCUGCCUCAGCCUCCUGAGUAGCUGGGAUUACAGGUGUGCACCUCCACACCCUGCUAAUUACUGUAGUUUUAGUAGAUAUAGGGUUUCACCAUACUGACGAGGCUGGUCUCAAACUCCUGACCUCAAGUGAUCUGCCCAUGUUGGCCUCCUAAAGUGCUGGGAUUAGAGGUGUGAGACACCGUGCUUGGCCCCAAAUUCUUAACCUUCUACUGUUUAAUGAUACAUGUAGGGGGAAAGGUAAAUGUUCCUAUCUUCUGUUAUGACACCAAGUGAGAAAAGGUUUUGACUGCAUUACCUGGAAUCCCUCCUUAGCACAUUAAGUAAUCUCCUUGUAGAAGGUAUGGAGCUGCCUCUCUUGGAUAUACUUAUUUUUCAGUGGGAUUCCUGUAUAAAAAUGAGUAGUCUUAUAUGCUGCAGUGUGAAUUACAGUGUUAGAGGAGAG